rnacentral:misc_RNA from 1 species
AACGCACCUUGCACUCUUUGGUAUUCCGAAGAGUAUGUCUGUUUGAGCGUCAUGAAACUCUCAACCCUCCUGUUUUGUAAUGAAACGGGCGUGGGCUUGGAUUAUGGCUGUUUGUCGGCGUCAUUGCCGGCUCAGCUGAAAUACACGAGCAACCCAUUUGAAAUAGGCGGUUUGACUCGGCGUAAUAAUUAUUUCGCUGAGGACGUCUUCUUUAAAGUCAGCGGUGCUUCUAAUGCGCUUUUAAUUAAGCAUCUUAAGCUUUAGACCUCAAAUCAGUCAGGACUACCCGCUGAACUUAA